GUGGAGGCAUGGUGCCACCCUCCAGGGUCUGAGACUGGUUGGUAUUUCUUCUUUCCUUUCCCUUCAGUGCAGGCAUUGGCAUUGGUUUCUAUGGUAACAGCGAGACCAGUGAUGGGGUGUCCCAGCUCAGCUCAGCACUGCAGCAUGCCAACCACACGCUCAGCACCAUUGAUGACUUGGUGCUGGAAACGGUAGAGAGGCUGGGUGAGGCUGUGAGGACAGAGCUGACCACCCUGGAGGAAGUGUUGUCAGAACGCGUGGAGCUGGUGGCUGCCACCCGGGGAGCCAGAAGGCAGGCUGAGGCAGCAGCUCAGCACCUGCAAGGCCUAGCCUUCUGGCAGGGAGUGUCCCUGAGCCCAGUACAGGUGGCUGAGGAUGUGACUUUCGUGGAGGAGUACAGGUGGCUGGCCUAUGUCCUCCUGCUGCUCUUGGUGCUUCUGGUUUGUCUCUUCACCCUCCUGGGCCUGGCCAAGCAGAGCAAGUGGCUGGUGGUUGUGUGAGUGGAGCAAAUUUCAUAGGAGAGGGAAACAGGCCCCACCAUGUAUCCUCAGCAAGCAACGUGCUAAAGCCAGGAGAAAGACAAUGAUAGCAUUUGCCGUAAAGGGGGUGGGGAGGGGUUGAUCUCUGAUAUGCCACAUAUGUUUUUCCCUUUGGUCACCUCAAACCCAUGGAGGAAAUGCUACCAGGUCCCCUGUAUGGCAGGUGAGAGACCUGAGGUAAUAUUCGGGCAUGUAGGACCUAUGCUCUUACUGCACAGUUCUCUGUAUGCCAGACACAGCCCUUAGGAUUUCAUAGAACUCUCACACUAAUCC
rnacentral:lncRNA from 1 species